UACAGAGGUCCCAAGCGUUGUUCGGAUUCACUGGGCGUAAAGGGUGCGUAGGCGGUCGGGCAAGUCUGAUGUGAAAUCUCCAAGCCUAACUUGGAAACUGCAUUGGAUACUAUCCGGCUCGAGGAAUGGAGGGGAGACUGGAAUACUUGGUGUAGCAGUGAAAUGCGUAGAUAUCAAGUGGAACACCAGUGGCGAAGGCGAGUCUCUGGACAUUUACUGACGCUGAGGCACGAAAGCCAGGGGAGCAAAAGGG
rnacentral:rRNA from 1 species